UCUUGCCGUUAGCUAGCUUUCUGCAACUCACAUGGUUGCCCACUGAAGCUAAGCAGGGCUGCGCCUGGUCAGUACCUGGACGGGAGACCACAUGGGAUAGCUAGGUUGCUGCUGGAA
ensembl:rRNA 5S_rRNA 5S ribosomal RNA